rnacentral:lncRNA from 1 species
UUUUUUAAUUCUUUUGUGUAGGUAAAAUUUCCCUCCCGCCUCGUGGUGACACCUUUGUUGUUCUCCCAGGAGAAAAUGUGACAAUAGCCUGGAAACUUGAUGUCAGUUUAUCUGACGUAUCUCUUCGAUCGUGGAUUUUCCUUCCAAAGGGCGACGAUUAUUUUGCUCAAAUCAUUAGAGAUGGAAAUGUGGAUGAACGGCCCGAAUACUCACCCGGGCUAUUUACAAUAAAAAAUAAUGCAACAUUGAUUUUAAAUAAUGUUACUAUCCAGUACAAUGGGACAUACAGAUUUAGUAUUUUUUCAAAGGGUAAACUUGCUAUUUGUGAUGUUUAUGUGUUUGUUGCAGGUAAGUGUCUGCUGUAUAAAAUCCUGUGCCAUUUUACCCUACUUUUUGCCAAUUUCUGCACGAAGUGCGUGGAUAAUGCUUGAACUGAUUUGAUUGGCUAUUGGACAGAGAUGCAGAAAGGC